rnacentral:rRNA from 1 species
UACGGAGGGGGCAAGCGUUGUUCGGAGUUACUGGGUGUAAAGCGCACGUAGGCGGUGCGGUAAGUCAGGGGUUAAAGGCUGCAGCUCAACUGCAGUAAGGCCUUUGAUACUAUCGUGCUAGAGUGUCAGAGAGGAUGCCGGAAUUCCCGGUGUAGCGGUGAAAUGCGUAGAUAUCGGCAGGAACACCAGCGGCGAAGGCGGUUCUCUGGUUGACUUCUGACGCUGAGGCACGAAAGCUAGGGGAGCAAACAGG